rnacentral:rRNA from 1 species
UACAGAGGUCUCAAGCGUUGUUCGGAUUCAUUGGGCGUAAAGGGUGCGUAGGUGGCGCGGUAAGUCGGGUGUGAAAUUUCGGAGCUUAACUCCGAAACUGCAUUCGAUACUGCCGUGCUUGAGGACUGGAGAGGAGACUGGAAUUUACGGUGUAGCAGUGAAAUGCGUAGAGAUCGUAAGGAAGACCAGUGGCGAAGGCGGAUCUCUGGACAGUUACUGACACUGAGGCACGAAGGCCAGGGGAGCAAACGGG